rnacentral:rRNA from 1 species
UACGGGGGGGGUAAGCGUUGUUCGGAAUUACUGGGCGUAAAGGGCUCGUAGGCGGCCAACUAAGUCGGACGUGAAAUCCCUCAGCUUAACUGGGGAACUGCGUCCGAUACUGGAUGGCUUGGAUUUGGGAGAGGGAUGCGGAAUUCCAGGUGUAGCGGUGAAAUGCGUAGAUAUCUGGAGGAAUACCAGUGGCGCAAGCGGCGCUCUGGGUCGAGCCUGACACUGAGACGCGAAGGCAUGGGGAGCGAACAGG